rnacentral:rRNA from 1 species
CUGGUUGUCCAAGUUUAAGGUGGUAGGCUGAAAUCUUAGGUAAAUCCGGGGUUUCAAGGCCGAGAGCUGAUGACGAGUCGUCUUUUAGAUGACGAAGUGGUUGAUGCCAUGCUUCCAAGAAAAGCUUCUAAGCUUCAGGUAACCAGGAACCGUACCCCAAACCGACACAGGUGGUCGGGUAGAGAAUACCAAGGCGCUUGAGAGAACUCGGGUGAAGGAACUAGGCAAAAUGGCACCGUAACUUCGGGAGAAGGUGCGCCGGCUAGGGUGAAGGAUUUACUCCGUAAGCUCUGGCUGGUCGAAGAUACCAGGCCGCUGCGACUGUUUAUUAAAAACACAGCACUCUGCAAACACGAAAGUGGACGUAUAGGGUGUGACGCCUCCCCGGUGCCGGAAGGUUAAUUGAUGGGGUUAGCGCAAGCGAAGCUCUUGAUCGAAGCCCCGGUAAACGGCGGCCGUAACUAUAACGGUCCUAAGGUAGCGAAAUUCCUUGUCGGGUAAGUUCCGACCUGCACGAAUGGCGUAACGAUGGCGGCGCUGUCUCCACCCGAGACUCAGUGAAAUUGAAAUCGCUGUGAAGAUGCAGUGUAUCCGCGGCUAGACGGAAAGACCCCGUGAACCUUUACUGUAGCUUUGCACUGGACUUUGAGCCUGCUUGUGUAGGAUAGGUGGGAGGCUUUGAAGCGUGGACGCCAGUUCGCGUGGAGCCAUCCUUGAAAUUCCACCCUGGCAUGCUUGAGGUUCUAACUCUGGUCCGUAAUCCGGAUCGAGGACAGUGUAUGGUGGGCAGUUUGACUGGGGCGGUCUCCUCCUAAAGAGUAACGGAGGAGUACGAAGGUGCGCUCAGACCGGUCGGAAAUCGGUCGCAGAGUAUAAAGGCAAAAGCGCGCUUGACUGCGAGACAGACACGUCGAGCAGGUACGAAAGUAGGUCUUAGUGAUCCGGUGGUUCUGUAUGGAAGGGCCAUCGCUCAACGGAUAAAAGGUACUCCGGGAUAACAGGCUGAUACCGCCCAAGAGUUCAUAUCGACGGCGGUGUUUGGCACCUCGAUGUCGGCUCAUCACAUCCUGGGGCUGAAGCCGGUCCCAAGGGUAUGGCUGUUCGCCAUUUAAAGUGGUACGCGAGCUGGGUUUAGAACGUCGUGAGACAGUUCGGUCCCUAUCUGCCGUGGACGUUUGAGAUUUGAGAGGGGCUGCUCCUAGUACGAGAGGACCGGAGUGGACGAACCUCUGGUGUUCCGGUUGUCACGCCAGUGGCAUUGCCGGGUAGCUAUGUUCGGAAAAGAUAACCGCUGAAAGCAUCUAAGCGGGAAACUUGCCUCAAGAUGAGAUCUCACUGGGAACUUGAUUCCCCUGAAGGGCCGUCGAAGACUACGACGUUGAUAGGCUGGGU